rnacentral:rRNA from 1 species
AGGGGAGCGUUCUGUAAGCCGUUGAAGGUGGCCUGUGAGGGUUGCUGGAGGUAUCAGAAGUGCGAAUGCUGACAUAAGUAACGAUAAUGCGGGUGAAAAACCCGCACGCCGGAAGACCAAGGGUUCCUGUCCAACGUUAAUCGGGGCAGGGUGAGUCGACCCCUAAGGCGAGGCCGAAAGGCGUAGUCGAUGGGAAACAGGUUAAUAUUCCUGUACUUGGUGUUACUGCGAAGGGGGGACGGAGAAGGCUAUGUUGGCCGGGCGACGGUUGUCCCGGUUUAAGCAUGUAGGCGGAUGUUCCAGGUAAAUCCGGAACGUUACUAACGCUGAGGUGUGAUGACGAGGCACUACGGUGCUGAAGUGACAAAUGCCCUGCUUCCAGGAAAAGCCUCUAAGCAUCAGGUAACAUCAAAUCGUACCCCAAACCGACACAGGUGGUCAGGUAGAGAAUACCAAGGCGCUUGAGAGAACUCGGGUGAAGGAACUAGGCAAAAUGGUGCCGUAACUUCGGGAGAAGGCACGCUGAUGGUAGGUGAAGUGACUUGCUCACGGAGCUGAAAUCAGUCGAAGAUACCAGCUGGCUGCAACUGUUUAUUAAAAACACAGCACUGUGCAAACACGAAAGUGGACGUAUACGGUGUGACGCCUGCCCGGUGCCGGAAGGUUAAUUGAUGGGGUUAUCCUCACGGAGAAGCUCUUGAUCGAAGCCCCGGUAAACGGCGGCCGUAACUAUAACGGUCCUAAGGUAGCGAAAUUCCUUGUCGGGUAAGUUCCGACCUGCACGAAUGGCGUAAUGAUGGCCAGGCUGUCUCCACCCGAGACUCAGUGAAAUUGAACUCGCUGUGAAGAUGCAGUGUACCCGCGGCAAGACGGAAAGACCCCGUGAACCUUUACUAUAGCUUGACACUGAACACUGGUCCUUGAUGUGUAGGAUAGGUGGGAGGCUUUGAAGUGUGGACGCCAGUCUGCAUGGAGCCAUCCUUGAAAUACC